rnacentral:rRNA from 1 species
GGCUAGGACGAACGCUGGCGGCGUGCCUAAUACAUGCAAGUAGAACGCUGAAGAGAGGAGCUUGCUCUUCUUGGAUGAGUUGCGAACGGGUGAGUAACGCGUAGGUAACCUGCCUUGUAGCGGGGGAUAACUAUUGGAAACGAUAGCUAAUACCGCAUAACAAUGGAUGACACAUGUCAUUUAUUUGAAAGGGGCAAUUGCUCCACUACAAGAUGGACCUGCGUUGUAUUAGCUAGUAGGUGAGGUAAUGGCUCACCUAGGCGACGAUACAUAGCCGACCUGAGAGGGUGAUCGGCCACACUGGGACUGAGACACGGCCCAGACUCCUACGGGAGGCAGCAGUAGGGAAUCUUCGGCAAUGGGGGCAACCCUGACCGAGCAACGCCGCGUGAGUGAAGAAGGUUUUCGGAUCGUAAAGCUCUGUUGUAAGUCAAGAACGGGUGUGAGAGUGGAAAGUUCACACUGUGACGGUAGCUUACCAGAAAGGGACGGCUAACUACGUGCCAGCAGCCGCGGUAAUACGUAGGUCCCGAGCGUUGUCCGGAUUUAUUGGGCGUAAAGCGAGCGCAGGCGGUUUGAUAAGUCUGAAGUUAAAGGCUGUGGCUCAACCAUAGUUCGCUUUGGAAACUGUCAAACUUGAGUGCAGAAGGGGAGAGUGGAAUUCCAUGUGUAGCGGUGAAAUGCGUAGAUAUAUGGAGGAACACCGGUGGCGAAAGCGGCUCUCUGGUCUGUAACUGACGCUGAGGCUCGAAAGCGUGGGGAGCGAACAGGAUUAGAUACCCUGGUAGUCCACGCCGUAAACGAUGAGUGCUAGGUGUUGGAUCCUUUCCGGGAUUCAGUGCCGCAGCUAACGCAUUAAGCACUCCGCCUGGGGAGUACGACCGCAAGGUUGAAACUCAAAGGAAUUGACGGGGGCCCGCACAAGCGGUGGAGCAUGUGGUUUAAUUCGAAGCAACGCGAAGAACCUUACCAGGUCUUGACAUCCCGAUGCUAUUUCUAGAGAUAGAAAGUUACUUCGGUACAUCGGUGACAGGUGGUGCAUGGUUGUCGUCAGCUCGUGUCGUGAGAUGUUGGGUUAAGUCCCGCAACGAGCGCAACCCCUAUUGUUAGUUGCCAUCAUUCAGUUGGGCACUCUAGCGAGACUGCCGGUAAUAAACCGGAGGAAGGUGGGGAUGACGUCAAAUCAUCAUGCCCCUUAUGACCUGGGCUACACACGUGCUACAAUGGUUGGUACAACGAGUUGCGAGUCGGUGACGGCGAGCUAAUCUCUUAAAGCCAAUCUCAGUUCGGAUUGUAGGCUGCAACUCGCCUACAUGAAGUCGGAAUCGCUAGUAAUCGCGGAUCAGCACGCCGCGGUGAAUACGUUCCCGGGCCUUGUACACACCGCCCGUCACACCACGAGAGUUUGUAACACCCGAAGUCGGUGAGGUAACCUUUUGGAGCCAGCCGCCUAAGGUGGGACAGAUGAUUGGGGUGAAGUCGA